rnacentral:rRNA from 1 species
GAUGAACGCUGGCGGCGUGCCUAAUACAUGCAAGUCGAGCGAACGGACGAGAAGCUUGCUUCUCUGAUGUUAGCGGCGGACGGGUGAGUAACACGUGGAUAACCUACCUAUAAGACUGGGAUAACUUCGGGAAACCGGAGCUAAUACCGGAUAAUAUUUUGAACCGCAUGGUUCAAAAGUGAAAGACGGUCUUGCUGUCACUUAUAGAUGGAUCCGCGCUGCAUUAGCUAGUUGGUAAGGUAACGGCUUACCAAGGCAACGAUGCAUAGCCGACCUGAGAGGGUGAUCGGCCACACUGGAACUGAGACACGGUCCAGACUCCUACGGGAGGCAGCAGUAGGGAAUCUUCCGCAAUGGGCGAAAGCCUGACGGAGCAACGCCGCGUGAGUGAUGAAGGUCUUCGGAUCGUAAAACUCUGUUAUUAGGGAAGAACAUAUGUGUAAGUAACUGUGCACAUCUUGACGGUACCUAAUCAGAAAGCCACGGCUAACUACGUGCCAGCAGCCGCGGUAAUACGUAGGUGGCAAGCGUUAUCCGGAAUUAUUGGGCGUAAAGCGCGCGUAGGCGGUUUUUUAAGUCUGAUGUGAAAGCCCACGGCUCAACCGUGGAGGGUCAUUGGAAACUGGAAAACUUGAGUGCAGAAGAGGAAAGUGGAAUUCCAUGUGUAGCGGUGAAAUGCGCAGAGAUAUGGAGGAACACCAGUGGCGAAGGCGACUUUCUGGUCUGUAACUGACGCUGAUGUGCGAAAGCGUGGGGAUCAAACAGGAUUAGAUACCCUGGUAGUCCACGCCGUAAACGAUGAGUGCUAAGUGUUAGGGGGUUUCCGCCCCUUAAUGCUGCAGCUAACGCAUUAAGCACUCCGCCUGGGGAGUACGACCGCAAGGUUGAAACUCAAAGGAAUUGACGGGGACCCGCACAAGCGGUGGAGCAUGUGGUUUAAUUCGAAGCAACGCGAAGAACCUUACCAAAUCUUGACAUCCUUUGACAACUCUAGAGAUAGAGCUUUCCCCUUCGGGGGACAAAGUGACAGGUGGUGCAUGGUUGUCGUCAGCUCGUGUCGUGAGAUGUUGGGUUAAGUCCCGCAACGAGCGCAACCCUUAAGCUUAGUUGCCAUCAUUAAGUUGGGCACUCUAAGUUGACUGCCGGUGACAAACCGGAGGAAGGUGGGGAUGACGUCAAAUCAUCAUGCCCCUUAUGAUUUGGGCUACACACGUGCUACAAUGGACAAUACAAAGGGCAGCGAAACCGCGAGGUCAAGCAAAUCCCAUAAAGUUGUUCUCAGUUCGGAUUGUAGUCUGCAACUCGACUACAUGAAGCUGGAAUCGCUAGUAAUCGUAGAUCAGCAUGCUACGGUGAAUACGUUCCCGGGUCU